rnacentral:misc_RNA from 1 species
UUUCCGUAGGUGAACCUGCGGAAGGAUCAUUCAUAAUAAAGUGUUUUAUGGCACUUUUUAAAAAUCCAUAUCCACUUUGUGUGCAAUGUUAGAUCUCGUCAAUCUUGGCGAGAUUUUUAUACAUCAACUCAUUCUUUAACUAAUUUGUCUGAAAAAUAUUAUGAAUACUUAAUUCAGAAUACAACUUUCAACAACGGAUCUCUUGGCUCUC